rnacentral:rRNA from 1 species
UCCGGAAUUACUGGGCGUAAAGAGCUCGUAGGUGGUUUGUCGCGUUGUUCGUGAAAUCUCACGGCUUAACUGUGAGCGUGCGGGCGAUACGGGCAGACUUGAGUACUGCAGGGGAGACUGGAAUUCCUGGUGUAGCGGUGGAAUGCGCAGAUAUCAGGAGGAACACCGGUGGCGAAGGCGGGUCUCUGGGCAGUAACUGACGCUGAGGAGCGAAAGCGUGGGGAGCGAACAGGAUUAGAUACCCUGGUAGUCCACGCCGUAAACGGUGGGUACUAGGUGUGGGUUUCCUUCCUUGGGAUCCGUGCCGUAGCUAACGCAUUAAGUACCCCGCCUGGGGAGUACGGCCGCAAGGCUAAAACUCAAAGAAAUUGACGGGGGCCCGCACAAGCGGCGGAGCAUGUGGAUUAAUUCGAUGCAACGCGAAGAACCUUACCUGGGUUUGACAUGCACAGGACGCCGGCAGAGAUGUCGGUUCCCUUGUGGCCUGUGUGCAGGUGGUGCAUGGCUGUCGUCAGCUCGUGUCGUGAGAUGUUGGGUUAAGUCCCGCAACGAGCGCAACCCUUGUCUCAUGUUGCCAGCGGGUAAUGCCGGGGACUCGUGAGAGACUGCCGGGGUCAACUCGGAGGAAGGUGGGGAUGACGUCAAGUCAUCAUGCCCCUUAUGUCCAGGGCUUCACACAUGCUACAAUGGCCGGUACAAAGGGCUGCGAUGCCGCGAGGUUAAGCGAAUCCUUUUAAAGCCGGUCUCAGUUCGGAUCGGGGUCUGCAACUCGACCCCGUGAAGUCGGAGUCGCUAGUAAUCGCAGAUCAGCAACGCUGCG